ensembl:lncRNA
UGUCAUGGUCUGUCGUGUUUUGGUGUGUUUCCCUGUGUUUCCCUCCUGUGUUGAUUACUGUUCCCUCCCCUAAUGUGUCUCAGCUGUUCCUCGUUGUAUUUGUUACUUAAGCCCUUGUCUUUCCUUUGUUCUGUGUGCUAUCAUUGUGGUUGUUAGUCCUGCGUGGUCCCUGUUGUCUCCCGAGUACCCUGUUGUCUCCCGAGUACCCUGUUGUCUCCCGAGUACCCUGUUGUCUCCCGAGUUCCCUGUUGUCUCCCGAGUUCCCUGAUUCCUGUGCCUUAGCCUUUAGGCAUGAAUAAAGUGCCGUUUUCAAGAAACCGUCUGCGUCUGGGUCCUACCUGCCUGCCUGCACACGCAACCACUCCUAACAGAAUGAUGGCACCAACAUUGGACCCAGCGGACGAUCAAGUUAGCCGUGAGUGGGAGGAUUUAUUAGGGUUCUUAAUGAAGGCAACAGAUUUUUGGGAGGGUUCGGGGUACCACCCGGUUCCUCCUGGCACUCCAGCUCCCACACUGACUCCGGUCCCCGAGCCCUGUCCGGUUCCUGAGCCCACUCCUCGCCUUCCAGAGGGGGACCGGCCUCUUCGCCUGCUUGAGGUGGUCUGAGGGGGCCCGCCCCCUGCUCCUUCCAGAGGGGGACCGGUCUCUGCUCCUGCCUGAGGGGGCCCGCCCCCUGCUCCUUCCCGAGGGGGGUUCCCCUUCAAGGCCUUCCACCAGAGGGGACCCGCCCUCUACCUGGCCUUCCACCAGAGGGGACCCGCCUUCCACCAGAGGGGACCCGCCCCCUACCUGGCCUUCCAUCAGAGGGGACCCGCCCCCUACCUGGCCUUCCAUCAGAGGGGACCCGCCCCUACCUCUCCUUCCUCCAGAGGGGACCCGCCCUCUACCUCUCCUUCCUCCAGAGGGGACCCGCCCUCCACCUCGCCUUCCUUCUGAGGGGACCCGCCCUCUACCUCGCCUUCGCCGGCCUCCUGAAGGGUUCCGCCUUCACUCUGCCUCUGCUUGCCCCCCAGGCCGUCCGCCUGAGGCUCCCUGCCAUGCCCUGGGGCAGUUUUCUGGCUGCCCGCCUGACGUCCCUCCGCUCUGCCCCAGUCCAUUUUUUUUUUUUUUGAUUUCCCCCCUCCUGGCGCCCCUCCACCCACCCGUUUUGGGUUUGACUUUCUUCGUUUUUUUGCUUGUCGUGGGUCGCCUGGCAGUCGACCCUUAAGGGGGGGGUACUGCAUUGGUCUGUCGUGUUUUGGUGUGUAUCCCUGUGUUUCCCUCCUGUGUUGAUUACUGUUCCCUCCCCUAAUCUGUCUCAGCUGUUCCUCGUUGUAUUUGUUACUUAAGCCCUUGUCUUUCCUUUGUUCUGUGUGCUAUCAUUGUGGUUGUUAGUCCUGCGUGUUCCCUGUUGUCUCCCGAGUUCCCUGUUGUCUCCUGAGUUCCCUGAUUCCUGUGCCUUAGCCUUAAGGCGUGAAUAAAGUGCCGUUUUCCAGAAACCGUCUGCUUCUGGGUCCUACCUGCCUGCACACGCAACUCUUAACAUUUUUGUUAUCUCAUAAGCGGCGUGGUGCCGGCUCCUUUUGACCUUUUGACCCCAGACUUCAAAAACGUGGCCACAGGCAGCUGUGUCUGCACACCUCCAUCCCACAAGAAAUGGGGACGAGAAACUAACCUGUCUUAUAGAUUUACUCUACUGUUGGAGUUCACGCCCCUUUUCCGGUCUUUUCAAGAUAGCUAGGGAUGCUAAAAUGUUUACACACAUUUCCCCGGGUCAUGAGAACGACAUAUCCGAGAUUUGGAGUUCUAGCCCUUAGAGAAAAAAAGUUUUUCCCAAAUGGACUGUUAUUUGGAUAAAGCCCCUCAGAAGUGUUGCCUUCAAGACCCAAUGGUUCAGAAUGUGGUGGAAAAACAGUUUUUGAGAUAGGAAGGUUCUACCGCCCUGAAAUUUGAAUACCUUAUUCUAAGGCCUAACUGGGACCCCCGCACCGAAACUUGGCCCGGUCGGACCCCGAGGGCAGGAAGGGGUUGCCCUUCCUGCCCGAAACUUGGCCCAGUCGGACCCCGAGUGCAGGAAGGGGGGGCCUGGACUUUCAUAAUCCUCGCUCGGUGACUGUAAAGGAUGUUUGGUCGGAUGUUAUGACGAAGAAUCAUAAUGUGAAUGGGAAUAUUCUAUAAAUGUCUUGAUAUCAUCUUUCGUCUCAACAUUUCUGCUGCAGCCGCUUAAAGUCUCACUCCGAGAACCUUAAAAUAUGAAUCAAUCCAUUAGAAGUAUAAAAAUAUCUUCCCGGUAGCGUAACGGGGCAAACAAGGUGUCCUUUGACAUCUACGUUUCGAGGCGAUUGCAACAGUGCCACACAUGAUC